rnacentral:rRNA from 1 species
UGGGGAAUAUUGGGCAAUGGGCGCAAGCCUGACCCAGCAACGCCGCGUGAAGGAAGAAGGCUUUCGGGUUGUAAACUUCUUUUAUCAGGGACGAAGCAAGUGACGGUACCUGAUGAAUAAGCCACGGCUAACUACGUGCCAGCAGCCGCGGUAAUACGUAGGUGGCAAGCGUUAUCCGGAUUUACUGGGUGUAAAGGGCGUGUAGGCGGGAGUGCAAGUCAGAUGUGAAAACUAUGGGCUCAACCCAUAGCCUGCAUUUGAAACUGUACUUCUUGAGUGCUGGAGAGGCAAUCGGAAUUCCGUGUGUAGCGGUGAAAUGCGUAGAUAUACGGAGGAACACCAGUGGCGAAGGCGGAUUGCUGGACAGUAACUGACGCUGAGGCGCGAAAGCGUGGGGAGCAAACA